CAGCCCUGCUCCUGCCCAGCCACCCCCAGACUGAGAGGGACCCUCAGUCAGCCUGGCUGCUGACAUGAGCGGCGGCCUCCUGUGCUGCGUGGCCUUGUGUCUCCUCCGUGCAGGUCUGGGGAUGGCCGGCGUCACUCAGUCCCCAGCCUCCCAGGUUGUGACAACAGGACAGACGGUGACCUUGCGGUGUUCCCAGGACUUGAAACACGACGGCAUGUACUGGUACCGACAGGACCUGGGUCACGGGCUGAGGCUGAUCCAUUACUCAGUGGGCCCUGGGAUCAUGGACAAAGGAGAGGUCCCCGAUGGGUACAGUGUCUCUAGAUCAAAACAAGAAGACUUCCCCCUCACGCUGGAGUCGGCCACCCCCGCCCAGACAUCUGUGUACUUCUGCGCCAGCAGUGAACCCACAGUGCUGCAUGGCCGCCUCCUCUCUGCACAGAAAGUCAGGGGGAGGCCCAGCGCCCGGACUCAGGGAAGCCCUGUGCAGACUCCUCCACCUUGGAGCCCCCAGUGGCCCCCACCUGCAGGGUGACCCUCUGUGU